rnacentral:rRNA from 1 species
AUGGAGUUAAGUUUGUCUCAUACGCUUCGUCUUUUUAAUAUCUUUCGUGAGUAUGAUGGAAAGGAAAAUUGUGCUCAAGUGCUAGAGGAAGAAUGCAUUAGAAUGUUUGAUACUAAAUCUUUGAAUGAUGAGUAUGAUUGCAAUGUUGUUAGUAUAAAUUCCUUAAAUAUCCGUGAUGCUAAUGAUAUGCAAAGCCACAAGCUUGGGGAAGCUAUGUUUGAUGAGUAUGAAAUAGUUGAGAAUAUAUUUGCUGAAAUUAAUGAUUGUCCCAAGCUUGGGGAUGUUAUGUUUAAUGAAGAUGAUAUUUUUAGCAUCCCAAGUUUUGAUAUGCAAAGUUGUUAUGAUGAUCGCAUGCCUCCUAUUUAUGAUGAUUAUAUUGAUGAAAGUGGGUUUGGAAGAGUGUCAACUUUAAGUAGUAUUGAUCCCACUAUUUUGGAGGAUAUUAAAUCUUAUUGUGAUGAAUAUGAAAGUGGAUUUGGAAGAGUGUCAACUUUAUUUAGUAAUGAGUCCACUAUUUUAGAAGAGGUUCCAAUUGAUUAUGAGAACAAAGUUGCUAUCUAUGAUGAUUAUUGUGAUGACUUGUAUGCUAUUAAGAAUAAUGAUAACCAUGAAACUUGUCAUCAUGAUUUAAGUUUUCAAUUGGAUUAUGCCUUGCAUGAUAAUUAUUUUGUUGAGUUUGCUCCCACUACUAUUCAUGAAAAGAAAUUUGCCUAUGUGGAGAGUAGUAAAUUUUCUAUGAUUGUAGAUCAUGAAAAGAAUGCUUUAAGUGCUGGUUAUAUUGUUGAAUUCAUUCAUGAUGCUACUGAACAUUAUUAUGAGGGAGGACCAUAUGCUUGUAGGAAUUGCAAUAAUGUCAAGUUUCCUCUCUAUGUGUUGAAAAUCUUGAAGCUAUGCUUGUUUUACCUUCCUAUGCUAGUUGAUUAUUGUUCCCAUAAGUUGUUUGCUCACAAAAUCCCUAUGCAUAGGAAGUGGGUUAGACUUAAAUGUGCUAGUCAUAUUCUUCAUGAUGCUCCCUUUAUGUUUCAAUUCUUAUCUUUUAUGUGA